CCUACGGGUGGCAGCAGUGGGGAAUAUUGGGCAAUGGGCGCAAGCCUGACCCAGCAACGCCGCGUGAAGGAAGAAGGCUUUCGGGUUGUAAACUUCUUUUCUCAGGGACGAAGAAAGUGACGGUACCUGAGGUAUAAGCCACGGCUAACUACGUGCCAGCAGCCGCGGUAAUCCGUAGGUGGCAAGCGUUAUCCGGAUUUAUUGGGUGUAAUGGGCGUGUAGGCGGGAGCGCAAGUCAGAUGUGAAAACUCAGGGCUCAACCCUGAGCCUGCAUUUGAAACUGUGUUUCUUGAGUGCUGGUGAGGCAAUCGGAAUUCCGUGUGUAGCGGUGAAAUGCGUAGAUAUACGGAGGAACACCAGUGGCGAAGGCGGAUUGCUGGACAGUAACUGACGCUGAGGCGCGAAAGCGUGGGGAGCAAACAGGAUUAGAUACCCCAGUAGUC
rnacentral:rRNA from 1 species